rnacentral:rRNA from 1 species
AUUGAACGCUGGCGGCAUGCUUUACACAUGCAAGUCGAACGGCAGCGCGGGGCAACCUGGCGGCGAGUGGCGAACGGGUGAGUAAUACAUCGGAACGUACCCAGAAGUGGGGGAUAACGUAGCGAAAGUUACGCUAAUACCGCAUACGUUCUACGGAAGAAAGUGGGGGACCUUCGGGCCUCAUGCUUUUGGAGCGGCCGAUGUCUGAUUAGCUAGUUGGUGAGGUAAAGGCUCACCAAGGCGACGAUCAGUAGCUGGUCUGAGAGGACGACCAGCCACACUGGGACUGAGACACGGCCCAGACUCCUACGGGAGGCAGCAGUGGGGAAUGUUGGACAAUGGGCGCAAGCCUGAUCCAGCAAUGCCGCGUGAGUGAAGAAGGCCUUCGGGUUGUAAAGCUCUUUUGUCAGGGAAGAAACGGCUGAGGAUAAUACCUUCGGCUAAUGACGGUACCUGAAGAAUAAGCACCGGCUAACUACGUG